GCCGGAGUGGCGGAAUGGCAGACGCACUUGACUCAAAAUCAAGCGACCACAAAUCGUACCGGUUCAAGUCCGGUCUUCGGCACCA
rnacentral:tRNA from 1 species